rnacentral:rRNA from 1 species
UACGGAGGGUGCUAGCGUUGUUCGGAAUUACUGGGCGUAAAGCGCACGUAGGCGGCUAUUCAAGUCGGGGGUGAAAGCCCGGGGCUCAACCCCGGAACUGCCCUCGAAACUAGGUAGCUAGAAUCUUGGAGAGGUCAGUGGAAUUCCGAGUGUAGAGGUGAAAUUCGUAGAUAUUCGGAAGAACACCAGUGGCGAAGGCGACUGACUGGACAAGUAUUGACGCUGAGGUGCGAAAGCGUGGGGAGCAAACAGG